GGAGAAAACAGCUCACAAUGAAACAGACAUUUAAAACUGAAGAAUAUUUACAAAAGUAGCAUUUAUUUGUUGUUGACUAUUCAGCAUUCUACUACUUAUUAAGUGUAUAUACUUACUUAAUUAAGU